rnacentral:rRNA from 1 species
GACAGAGGGUGCAACCGUUGUUCGGAAUUACUGGGCGUAAAGCGUGUGUAGGCGGCUAGGUAAGUCGGAUGUGAAAGCCCCGGGCUCAACUCGGGAAGUGCACUCGAUACUGCUUAGCUCGAGUACCGGAGAGGUUGGUGGAAUUCUCGGUGUAGAGGUGAAAUUCGUAGAUAUCGAGAGGAACACCGGUGGCGAAGGCGGCCAACUGGACGAGUACUGACGCUGAGACACGAAAGCGUGGGGAGCAAACAGG